AAAUAAAUAAAUAAAUAAAUAAUCUCUCUUUUUCUCCUCCCUCUCUCUCUUUCCUUCCUCCCUCUUCCUCUCCCCUUCCCCCAUUUUCUUCUCUUCCCGCUGGCAGCCCACUCUUCCCCGCCGCCUGCACGCCGUCGCCAGCGCCUUCCUCCCUUCCCGUCGCUCUGCAGCAGCUCCCCUUCCCCUUUCCUCCUUUCCGUCGGCGUUGUCAAGAACAGGGGGGGCUGCCUUCGCCGUUCGCCCUCUUGCCGGCGUGUUUUCGGCGAUCUGACAUCGGAAACGAGUUCCUCACCCCCAAAAACCCCGGAAGCAACCCUCCUCCGUCGGAAAAUCCUUGCCGGCAGCCUUGGAAAGUGUCGCGUGAGCAGCGACUUUCCGGCCCCGAUCCGCCGCCUUCCGGCCACUUUCCGGCCAAAACUCUUGUACUUCCGGACUCCCCGCAACUUGAGCUUCGCGUAGGCGCUUCCGGAUUUGAAUUCCGACACUGUUGGCAGGACCGGCUUCCGGACCCCAGUGUUUUCUGGACGCGCGGAAUAUUUUAAUUUUUAACUCGAUAAUUCAGCCUUCCCGCCAGCUCCACCCGAGGCGUAGGAGCGGACUGCGGAACGCGUUAGAUCAGUGAUAGUUAAAGACCUUCGCCAUCGCACAUUCGACAGUCCGACUUCUUCUUCUUCGGACUUUUCUCUUGCCAAUGCCGAGAACCCGAGCGACUGCAGCUGCAGCAUCGGCCCAGGAAGGCGAAGAUGAGUUUUCUGCUCAGACGGCUCCUCCGGACCCAGCCCAUGGUACCAGAAGGCGAGGUAGGCCUCGAGCAGCUGCCCAACCAGAUCAGGGCGAGGCUCAGGAGGUACAUGGUGCUGGUGAAAUUCCAGUGGAGGCUUUUGUGUCCAGUAUGACUGGGAUGCAGAGGGCCUUAGAGCAGUUGCUAGCCUUUCAGCAGCAGCAGGCUGCUCAGGGUGCAGGAAGCCGUGCU